UGUGGCCUAGGGACGCAGCAGUGAGGAAUAUUGGUCAAUGGGCGGAAGCCUGAACCAGCCAAGUCGCGUGAGGGAAUAAGGCCCUACGGGUCGUAAACCUCUUUUGCCGGGGAGCAAGGGCGGGGACGUGUCCCGGCCCGGAGAGUACCCGGAGAAAAAGCAUCGGCUAACUCCGUGCCAGCAGCCGCGGUAAUACGGAGGAUGCGAGCGUUAUCCGGAUUUAUUGGGUUUAAAGGGUGCGUAGGCGGGCUUUUAAGUCAGCGGUAAAAAUUCGGGGCUCAACCCCGUCCGGUCGUUGAAACUGG
rnacentral:rRNA from 1 species